rnacentral:rRNA from 1 species
CCUAUACAUGCAAGUCGAGCGGACCGACGGGAGCUUGCUCCCUUAGGUCAGCGGCGGACGGGUGAGUAACACGUGGGUAACCUGCCUGUAAGACUGGGAUAACUCCGGGAAACCGGGGCUAAUACCGGAUGCUUGAUUGAACCGCAUGGUUCAAUCAUAAAAGGUGGCUUUUAGCUACCACUUACAGAUGGACCCGCGGCGCAAUAGCUAGUUGGUGAGGUAACGGCUCACCAAGGCGACYAUGCGUAGCCCACCUGAGAGGGUGAUCGGCCACACUGGGACUGAGACACGGCCCAGACUCCUACGGGAGGCAGCAGUAGGGAAUCUUCCGCAAUGGACGAAAGUCUGACGGAGCAACGCCCCGUGAGUGAUGAAGGUUUUCGGAUCGUAAAACUCUGUUGUUAGGGAAGAACAAGUACCGUUCGAAUAGGGCGGUACCUUGACGGUACCUAACCAGAAAGCCACGGCUAACUACGUGCCAGCAGCCGCGGUAAUACGUAGGUGGCAAGCGUUGUCCGGAAUUAUUGGGCGUAAAGCGCGCGCAGGCGGUUUCUUAAGUCUGAUGUGAAAGCCCCCGGCUCAACCGGGGAGGGUCAUUGGAAACUGGGGAACUUGAGUGCAGAAGAGGAGAGUGGAAUUCCACGUGUAGCGGUGAAAUGCGUAGAGAUGUGGAGGAACACCAGUGGCGAAGGCGACUCUCUGGUCUGUAACUGACGCUGAGGCGCGAAAGCGUGGGGAGCGAACAGGAUUAGAUACCCUGGUAGUCCACGCCGUAAACGAUGAGUGCUAAGUGUUAGAGGGUUUCCGCCCUUUAGUGCUGCAGCAAACGCAUUAAGCACUCCGCCUGGGGAGUACGGUCGCAAGACUGAAACUCAAAGGAAUUGACGGGGGGCCCGCACAAGCGGUGGAAGCAUGUGGUUUAAUUCGAAGCAACGCGAAGAACCUUACCAGGUCUUGACAUCCUCUGACAACCCUAGAGAUAGGGCUUCCCCUUCGGGGGCAGAGUGACAGGUGGUGCAUGGUUGUCGUCAGCUCGUGUCGUGAGAUGUUGGGUUAAGUCCCGCAACGAGCGCAACCCUUGAUCUUAGUUGCCAGCAUUCAGUUGGGCACUCUAAGGUGACUGCCGGUGACAAACCGGAGGAAGGUGGGGAUGACGUCAAAUCAUCAUGCCCCUUAUGACCUGGGCUACACACGUGCUACAAUGGGCAGAACAAAGGGCAGCGAAGCCGCGAGGCUAAGCCAAUCCCACAAAUCUGUUCUCAGUUCGGAUCGCAGUCUGCAACUCGACUGCGUGAAGCUGGAAUCGCUAGUAAUCGCGGAUCAGCAUGCCGCGGUGAAUACGUUCCCGGGCCUUGUACACACCGCCCGUCACACCACGAGAGUUUGUAACACCCGAAGUCGGUGAGGUAACCUUUUGGAGCCAGCCGCCGAAGGUGGGACAGAUGAUGGGGUAAGUCUAUAG